GACGAACGCUGGCGGCGUGCUUAACACAUGCAAGUCGAACGGUGAACCUCUUCGGAGGGGAUCAGUGGCGAACGGGUGAGUAACACGUGGGCAACCUGCCCCCGGCUCUGGGAUAACUCCAAGAAAUUGGGGCUAAUACCGGAUGUUCACCGCUUCCCGCAUGGGUGGUGGUGGAAAGGGUUUCCGGCUGGGGAUGGGCCCGCGGCCUAUCAGCUUGUUGGUGGGGUAGUGGCCUACCAAGGCGACGACGGGUAGCCGGCCUGAGAGGGUGACCGGCCACACUGGGACUGAGACACGGCCCAGACUCCUACGGGAGGCAGCAGUGGGGAAUAUUGCGCAAUGGGCGGAAGCCUGACGCAGCGACGCCGCGUGGGGGAUGACGGCCUUCGGGUUGUAAACCUCUUUCAGCAGGGACGAAGCGCAAGUGACGGUACCUGCAGAAGAAGCAUCGGCCAACUACGUG
rnacentral:rRNA from 1 species